ACUCAAAGGAAUAGACGGGGGCCCGCACAAGCGGUGGAUGAUGUGGAUUAAUUCGAUGCAACGCGAAGAACCUUACCUGCCUUUGACAUGCUAGGAAUUUGAGAGAGAUCUCAAAGUGCCUUCGGGAACCUAGACACAGGUGCUGCAUGGCUGUCGUCAGCUCGUGUCGUGAGAUGUUGGGUUAAGUCCCGCAACGAGCGCAACCCUUGCCAUUAGUUGCCAUCAUUAAGUUGGGCACUUUAAUGGGACUGCCGGUGACAAACCGGAGGAAGGUGGGGAUGACGUCAAGUCCUCAUGGCCCUUAUAGGCAGGGCUUCACACGUCAUACAAUGGUCGGUACAGAGGGUCGCCAACCCGCAAGGGGGAGCCAAUCUCAGAAAGCCGAUCGUAGUCCGGAUUGCAGGCUGCAACUCGCCUGCAUGAAGUCGGAAUCGCUAGUAAUCGCGGAUCAGAAUGCCGCGGUGAAUACGUUCUCGGGCCUUGCACACACCGCCCGU
rnacentral:rRNA from 1 species